rnacentral:rRNA from 1 species
AAGUCGAGCGAACAGACGGGGAGCUUGCUCCCCCGACGUUAGCGGCGGACGGGUGAGUAACACGUGGGUAACCUACCUAUAAGACUGGAAUAACUCCGGGAAACCGGGGCUAAUGCCGGAUAACAUGUUGGACUGCAUGGUCCUACAGUGAAAGACGGUCUUGCUGUCACUUAUAGAUGGACCCGCGCCGUAUUAGCUAGUUGGUAAGGUAUCGGCUUACCAAGGCAACGAUACGUAGCCGACCUGAGAGGGUGAUCGGCCACACUGGAACUGAGACACGGUCCAGACUCCUACGGGAGGCAGCAGUAGGGAAUCUUCCGCAAUGGGCGAAAGCCUGACGGAGCAACGCCGCGUGAGUGAUGAAGGCCUUCGGGUCGUAAAACUCUGUUAUUAGGGAAGAACAAAUGUGUAAGUAACUAUGCACGUCUUGACGGUACCUAAUCAGAAAGCCACGGCUAACUACGUGCCAGCAGCCGCGGUAAUACGUAGGUGGCAAGCGUUAUCCGGAAUUAUUGGGCGUAAAGUGCGCGUAGGCGGUUUCUUAAGUCUGAUGUGAAAGCCCACGGCUCAACCGUGGAGGGUCAUUGGAAACUGGGAAACUUGAGUGCAGGAUGGGAAAGUGGAAUUCCAUGUGUAGCGGUGAAAUGCGCAGAGAUAUGGAGGAACACCAGUGGCGAAGGCGACUUUCUGGUCUGCAACUGACGCUGAUGUGCGAAAGCGUGGGGAUCAAACAGGAUUAGAUACCCUGGUAGUCCACGCCGUAAACGAUGAGUGCUAAGUGUUAGGGGGUUUCCGCCCCUUAGUGCUG